GGAAGGCGGGACAUAGGGAGGUGAUGGAGGACCUGCCUGGUGAAGGACGUCAGGGUGGGGCGAGUGACACCCGACUCCAAGGGGAUAUCCACUGAGGAGAGAGCUGAAGGAGCCAUGCAUCUGGAAGUUGAAAUGCUGUGUCCAGUCUGGGACGGACAGAUCUGAGCUGCAUCAAACUUGUAUCUCUGACCAGCUGGAGGCCUUUAGUGAUCAACAACCGCCACUCAUCGCUGGCCUGUGGAUUCAUCUCCUUCACACUCACACAAUGUGACCUUGGCCUGUGGAUUCAUCUCCUCCACACUCACACAACGUGACCUUGGCCUGUGGAUUCAUCUCCUCCACACUCACACAACGUGACCUUGGCCUGUGGAUUCAUCUCCUCCACACUCACACAACAGGACUUUGGCCUGUGGAUUCAUCUCCUCCACACUCACGCAACAUGACCUUCUCACCAUCUGUUGCACGUUUGGAUGCACCUAGCGUGUUCCAUCGAGGGUUCCUUCCUCCCCACGGUGGGAGGGUUCCUUGUCCUUCAA
ensembl:lncRNA